AAGGCUUUUUGAAUAAAAGGAUCCAUUUUGUAAUAUCAUGGCCUAAUUCAUAAUUUCAAGUUCAAGACAUUUCAUUAUUUCAUGGCGUAUUUGAUCACGUAAUGUUUCUCAAGGGUCAUGUCAAUCAAUGCAAGUGGGUGGUCUUUAGCCACUGAUUGGUCAAACUUUUUGCGUUGGCCGUCUGCAAAAGAUAAAGCUCAUUUCAGCCACAGAUUUCGCUGCAGGUCUUCUAUUUCGAAAGUGUUUUAAAAAAUGAAAGGAGUGCCUCCGCCACCUCUGACCAACUCUCCUCCCUCCAUCCCCUUCCCUCCCCUGUUAAAGGUUCGACUCAACCUCCUGUUGAACACAUCUCUCUCCCUGGGUCAUCUCUCGAGCACACCUACCCAGCGAAUACCUCAACAGGGGUGUUCCAUCCUGCUUGUCUGGUCAUGGAGACACCAGCCCAGAGGACAUAACAGUCAUUCAACAGCCUUUUCAGGACCACUCUUACCCAAGGCCCCAGAUCGCAGCAGCCCGUGGCCAGGUUCUUCGCAGGACCCACUCAGACACCCCACUGUUUCUGAAAAAAAAGACCCAGAGGGACAGAGGAGAAUGCAGGGACCUUGUCGACUUGGAACUGCUUGGGCUGCCCAACAUUGGCAACACUUGCUUUCUUAAUGCAACACUGCAGUGCCUGCUGUUCCUUCCCAUCUUCUGCAAGGAAAUCCUCCGCCAGGAAAAUCACUGAAGGUUGUCCCCCUUCUCCAACCUGCUCAGCUGCGGGAGAAAGUCAUCCACCAAGGAGGAGUACAACCACCUCUCUCUGGACAUCAGCCCUGAUUGUACCCUGCAGGGCAGCCUGGCACUGAAUUUCCAGGUCUGCAAAGGCCUCCAGGCAUCAAAGAUGGAGCAGUUUCACACCCUGCCUCGAGGUAUGGUGGACCUUCUGGUCUGGAUAAGAUGGAGACUCCUGUUGUGAUUCCUCCAAAUCUGACACUCACCACACUCUGUGGGGACAAAGUGCCUCCCCUGCAAAGUGUCAUACCAGAGGAACAGGCCCUCACCAACAACCAGACAAUCAGCCCUCCUGGACAGGCCGAAGAAUGUGUGCCCUCAGCCGUUCUGUAGGACAAAAAGACUGCGCCCUCUGCAGUUCAGGAGCAGCCUGUGAAGUCCGGCUACUAUCAGUUGACUGGCAUAGUCUCUCAUUUAGGAGGCAGCAUGAUGACCGGCCACUACGUUAGUGAUGUUCUGGAAGCCAGUGGAAAAUGGCCCUGCUGUAAUGACAGCAAGGUGUCAGUGUCACGUGAAAACACUGUGCUGAGGUCCAGAGCCAGGAGCGCUUACCUACUCUUGAAAGAAAUCUGUGAUUCUACUAGAAGUCAUCUGAAAUGGCAGGGAAGUAGGAGGCACCAGCUCAAAGGACCUAAAGGGGCCCACCAUCAACCACUCAAUUCAACCAGAAGUGGCCCAAUCUUACAACUCCAGUCCAGCCUCAAUAGAGAACGCAGUGGCCCAGCCUCACAACCCCAGUCCAGCCUCAGUAGAACCAGAAGUGGCCCAAGCCUUACAACCGCAGUCCAGCCUCAGUAGAACCAGCAGUGGCCCAGCCUCACAACCCGGUCCAGCCUCAAUAGAGACAGCAAUGGCCCAGCCUCACAACCCCAGUCCAGCCUCAAUAGGAGCAGUGGCCCAGCCUCACAACCCCAGUCCAACCUCAAUAGAGACAGCAGACGCUCAACCUCACAACACCAGUCCAGCCUCAGUAGGGACAGCAGUGGCCCAGCCUCACAACACCAGUCCAGCUUUAGUAGAGCCAGCAGUGGCCCAACCUCUCAACCACAGUCCAGACUCAGACCGGCCCGUCUGGCACCAACAACCAUGCCACUCUCAAAAUUGCUUAAAUCACCUUUCUUUCCCA